UGUUUAACUCCAAUCGAAAAGAGUUGCGCAUUUCGGACAUAUAUGUCUCAAUAUCCUUUUUAAACAAUAAUAAAAUAUCCCAAAGAAAACAAAACUCUUGUGAAAAGUGCUUUUUAAACAGGGAUAUAUGAAAUAGAAAAAGACGCACGUUAAGGAAGACACUUUUCAAGCAAAAAAUAAUAUUGCAGUAGCGUUAAAGCAAGACUGAAUCACUUCUCUCCAACUAGUGACCCAUUUUGCAUUUUCUUAAGUACAAAGUUCAUCCAUAUUUGGUUGCCACUGUCUUUUGUGUUGUAUUUCUAAAUCUUUUUUAAGACAUAUAUACUGCCACAACGGUAACAAAAUAUAUUUCUAAUUGCGUUUCAUGUCAGAAUGUGCAUUUUGAAAGGGGGCGUAUGUUCAAAAAAGGUUAUGAAUUUUUUAAACAUGUCACAUAAAACAAAUCAGCGAGAACAGUAUAUAUAUAUAGACCUAGUUUUUUUUA
rnacentral:lncRNA from 1 species